UACGGAGGGUGCAAGCGUUACUCGGAAUUACUGGGCGUAAAGCGUGCGCAGGCGGUUUGUUAAGUCUGUUGUGAAAUCCCCGAGCUCAACUUGGGAAUUGCAAUGGAUACUGGCAGGCUGGAGUAUGGUAGAGGAAGGUGGAAUUCCCGGUGUAGCAGUGAAAUGCGCAGAGAUCGGGAGGAACACCAGUGGCGAAGGCGGCCUUCUGGACCAAUACUGACGCUCAUGCACGAAAGCGUGGGGAGCAAACAGG
rnacentral:rRNA from 1 species